rnacentral:rRNA from 1 species
GAUGAACGCUAGCUACAGGCUUAACACAUGCAAGUCGAGGGGUAACGAGAGGAAAGCUUGCUUUCCUUGUCGACGACCGGCGCACGGGUGAGUAACGCGUAUCCAACCUGCCCCCAACUAGGGAAUAACCUUGCGAAAGUAAGACUAAUACCCUAUAAUUUCCUCAGAUGUCAUCUGACGAGGAAUAAAGAUUUAUCGGUUGAGGAUGGGGAUGCGUCUGAUUAGCUUGUUGGCGGGGUAACGGCCCACCAAGGCAACGAUCAGUAGGGGUUCUGAGAGGAAGGUCCCCCACAUUGGAACUGAGACACGGUCCAAACUCCUACGGGAGGCAGCAGUGAGGAAUAUUGGUCAAUGGGCGGAAGCCUGAACCAGCCAAGUAGCGUGCAGGAUGACGGCCCUAUGGGUUGUAAACUGCUUUUGUACAGGAAUAAAGUUAGCCACGUGUGGUUAUUUGUAGGUACUGUAUGAAUAAGGACCGGCUAAUUCCGUGCCAGCAGCCGCCGUAA